rnacentral:rRNA from 1 species
GACGUAGGGCGCAAGCGUUGUCCGGAUUUAUUGGGCGUAAAGAGCUCGUAGGCGGCUUGUCGCGUCGUUCGUGAAAACCCGGGGCUCAACUCCGGGCUUGCGGGCGAUACGGGCAGGCUAGAGUUCGGUAGGGGAGACUGGAAUUCCUGGUGUAGCGGUGAAAUGCGCAGAUAUCAGGAGGAACACCGGUGGCGAAGGCGGGUCUCUGGGCCGAUACUGACGCUGAGGAGCGAAAGCGUGGGGAGCGAACGGG